rnacentral:lncRNA from 1 species
UUUCCUUCUGUUUUUUUUUUUUUUUUUUUUUUUGGUCACACAUUUUUUUUCAUUUUUAUUUUUUAUUUUUUGUAUUUUUUUUUUAUUGGAGUUCAAUUUGCCAACAUAUAUAGUAGUCUCCUUCUGUUACAAGUUUGUUGAGUGUUUUUAUCAUGAAAGAGUGUUGGGUUUUGUCCAAUGCUUUUCUACAUCUAUUGAGAUUAUCAUGUGAUUUUUGGUUUUUCAUUUUAUUGAUAUGACAUUACAUUAAUUGAUUUUCAGAUGUUGAACCAACUUUGCAUUCCUGGGAUAAAUCCCAUUUGAUCAUUGCAUAUAUAUGUAUGUUGCUGGAUUUGGGUUGCAUUUUGUCAAUUGUGCUUGGUGUUUUUACAUUCUUCUUGAACUUUUUUUCUGGUAUGUAAUUAGGUUACUUGGAAUAGUUUGAUCUUUUCUUGACUUUCUUUAAAACUUUAGAAGGAAACAGAGCAGCAUUUGUUCUAUAGUUGUUUCCUACCACUGAGCCAAGACCCUUUUGAAUACCCUAUGCCUUGUGAGCCAUGAGGAUUCCAGUGUGGCUUGUGAGAACUGUCUCUAUUCCCAGCUCUGUGAGAACUCCAAGAACUCCUAGAAUUUGGGGAGAAGUUCUUUCUCUAGCCGUGGCUAGCUUUCUAAUAUGCAUGUGCUGAUCAGUACUCACCUGAAUACUUGAGGGGAGUACUCUGUGAAUCUCUAAUUUUCUCUUUGUGCAGUUAUUUCCUUUUGGUACUGUGUCCCAGCUAACUCUAGCUUCCUUGGUCUCCUCAGACUCUUGGCAUCCUUCCUCACUUUCAGAGAAACAUAAAAUAGUUGUGAUAUAAUGGAAAGAGAACUGGGUUGUGAGUCAAGAGGCCUGGUUUGUAGACCCUGCAAUACCAUUGCCUCAUUGAUCAUGCAUUUGUCCCUCUAUGAGCCUCAGGAUCUCUCUGUUUAAAAAGAGGAUUGCUGGGCAACCCGGGUGGCUCAGUGGUUUAGUGCCUCCUUGGGCCCAGGGUGUGAACCUGGAGACUCGGGAUCGAGUCCUGCGUCGGGCUCCCUGUAUGGAGCCUGCUUCUCUCUCUCUCUCUCUCUCUCUCAUAAAUAAAUAAAUAAAUAAAUAAAUAAAUAAAUAAUCUCAAAAAAAAAAGAGGAUUGCUGGAAUGCCUGGGUGGCUCAGUGGUUGAACAUCUCCCUUUGGCUCUGGGCGUGAUCCUGGAGUCCCUGAAUCAAGUCCCACAUCAGACUCCCUGCAUGGAGCCUGCUUCUCCCUCUGCCUGUGUCUCUGCCUCUCUCUCUGUGUCUGUCAUGAAUAAAUAAAUAAAAUAUAAAUAAAAUAAAAUGUAAAAAGAUGAUUGCUUUAGAUGACCCUUCAGCUCUAAAAUGCAUAGUAAUAUACCUGUCCCAUGCUUCGCAAUUUACAAAUAGCUCUCAUAUCCGUUUUGUUAUUUAUUCCUCUUCCUCAUAACUCUACAUGGUAAUCAGGGCAACAACCAUUAUUCUAUUUUAUAGGUGAUGAAACUGAAUCUCAGAGUUUUGAUAUCACAAGGCUAAUAAGUAGUAUUUAUUUAUUCAUUCAUUCAUUCAUUCAUUCAUUCGAGACAGAGAGAGAGAGGCAGAGACACAGGCAGAGGGAGAAGCAGGCUCCUGUAUGGAGCCUGAUGUGGGACUCGAUCCCGGAUCCUGGGAUCAUGCCCUGAGCUGAAGGCAGAUGCCCAACCGCUGAGCACCAAGGCGUCCCAAGUAGUAGUAUUUGGAUUCAAAUUCAGGUACCGUCUCCCCAAAUCCAGUGCUAUUUCCACUUCAUAUACUAAAUUCCAUGAUCCUAAGUUUCAUUUGUUCACUCAACCAAUACUAAUUGAUUAUGUGAUCCAAAGUCUGUGCUUUUGGGGCAGCAAUUUUAAGAACAUCCCAGUAUUUAUCAGAAAGCAGUACCAACCACAUGAGUCAAUUUUUCUUGAAAAGAACACUUUUAUAAUUAACUGGCAGAUGUUCAGGAGUGUUCAUUCAGUGUGGUGGAAAGUUCCCCAUAUUUUUGCCAUGUCAACUAAUAUAUCAGUUAUAUUAGUCCAACCUAAGUGGUUAUCCUAAGUGGUUGGUUAUUUUUGAGUUCUAGGUUCAGUGUGGUAUUUCCCUUGUCGCCUCAGAGGCACUGUACAUGCUGAGCAGUUUUCCUCUUUCGCAAUUACUUCUUGGAACACAUUUGAUGUUGCAGUCCAAAAAAAGUUGCUGAUACUAAAGAUAGCUGCUGUUUGCCGCAUGGAGGCUAAACCUUGAUAUAAAUCAGCCAAAUGUCCCAGGCACCAUGACACUCAAAAGACUUCUCUGAAAUUCCAGGCUUGGAUUCUUGGCAGUGCUUUCCCCAACUCUCCAAAUUGCACACGACAUCUAGGCUGCUGCAGCUCAUGAGGACCUUUAAAAAGACAAGCUUGGAGAGGCACCUGGGUGGCUCAGUGAGUUGGGUAUUUGCCUUUUGCUCAGGUCAUGAUCUCAGGGUCCUGGGAUCAAGCCCCUUGUUGAGCUCCCUGCUCAGCAAGGAAUCUGCUUCUCCCUCUGCCCCUCCUCUGCUCAUUCUCUCUCUCUCUCUCUCUCUCUCUCUCUCUUUCAAAUAAAGUCUUUUUAAAAACCACAUUUCUUUUAAAAAAAAAGACCAGCUUGGCAUUGGAUAUUAGGAAACUGCACACAGAGGAUUAUUCUUACAUAAGUUCUUUUAGUCCAUCUCUCAGCAGAUAUUUGUUGAGUGCCUGUUUUGUGCCAGGAGGUGUUAGGUGAUUGAAAUAUCUUAGUGAUAAAGCAAAGGUCCGUCCCUUAUAAAACUCACAUUCUAGUAGUGGAAUACAGAUACUAAACGUGAUUCAUACAUGAAUGUAACAAUAGUAUAUUGGAAAGUGAUAAACGUUUACAAAAAUGAAAAAGUAGAGCAAGGUAGGGUGGAUCAAGAGUACAGUGUAUGUGUAUGUGGGAUGUGUAUGUGAGGUUGGGGCAGGAUGUUACAUUAAACAGAAUGGUCUGGACAGGCCUUAUUGAGAAAAUGACACUUAAGCAAAGACUUGAAGGAGGUGAGGGAGUUAACUUUAUGAAACUCUAGAGAAGGAACAUUCAAGGAAGAGGGAACCGUCAGUGCAAAGGCCCUGAGGCAGGAGCGAGGUACACGUAUUUGAAGAACAGCAAAGAGACCAAUGUGGCUAGGUAAGUAGCAGAAGAUCAGACAGGUGGCAGGGAAAGGGACCUGAUGGUACAGGGCCUUACAGGGCAUUUUAAGGAUUUAGCAUUUUCCCCUGAGUGAAAUGGGAAGCAAAGGAGUGACACGAUCUGACUUAGCAUGUUAGAAAGAGCUUUUUGGUUGCUGUGUUGAGACUAUACUAUAGGGGUCAAGGGCCAAAGAGGGGCUGCCAUUUAAGAGGCUAAUGCAGUAAUCCAGGUAGGGGAUAACAGUUGAUUGGACCAGGUGGUAGCAGUGGAGGUGGUGAAAAGUAGUAGAAUUCUGGAUAUAUUCUUAAGGUAGAGCCAUCACAAUAUACUGACAGAUUGUUGUGGCAUGAGAGAAGUGACAAGUUUAUUUUUUAAAAGAUUUUUUUAAUUCAUUUCUUCAUGAGAGACACACACAGAGAGAGAGAGGCAGAGACAUAGGCAGAGGGAGAAGCAGGCUCCAUGCAGGAAGCCUGAUGUGGGACUCGAUCUAGGGACUCCAGGAUCAUACCCUGAGCUGACGGCAGGUGCUCAACUGCUGAGCCACCCAGGCAUCCCAGAAGUGACAAGUUUAUUUUAUUUUAUUUUCAGAAGUGACAAGUUUAAUGCCUGCAGUUGUUUCUGGCAUGACCAACUUGAAGGAUGAAAUUGCCAUCUAAUGAGAAAGGGAAAGUCAUUGGUGGGCAGGUUGGAGAAAAAGAUCAAUAAUUUAAUUUUAGAGAUACUGAGCUUUAGAUAUCUUAUGUUCACACAAAGCCCUGGGUGUGAAUGUCUGUAAAAAUUUUAUCCAUAACUUUCAAAACUGGAAACAACUCAAAUGGCCUCAACAAAUGAAAGGAUAAAUACUUUGUGGUACAUCCGUACAAUGGAAUACUACAUAGCAAUAAAAAGGAAUAAAUUAUUGAUGUACAUAAUGACAUUAAGGAAUCUUAAAUACAUUAUGCUAAGUGAGAGAAGCCAGACUCAAAUGGCUACAUGCUGUAUGAUUCCGUUUACCUAACAUUCGGCAAGAAACAGAACUGAAGGCACAGAAAACAGAUCAAUAGUUGUCAAGAAAUAGAGAUGUCAGAAGGGAUUGACUAUGCAGGGGCUCAAGGAAUUUUUAGGGGUAUUGGAAACGUUUUAUAUGUUGAUGGUAGUGACAGAGACACCAUUUCAUGUGUUCGUCAAAUCUCAUAGAACUAUACACUCAAAAGGGUGAAUAGUAUACAAAUUCUACUUCAGUAGGGAUGCCUGGAUGGCUCAGCAGUUGAGCGACUGCCUCCGGCCCAGGGCAUGAUCGUGGAGUCCUGGGAUCGAGUCCCACAUCGGGCUCCUUGCAUGGAGCCUGCUUCUCCCUCUGCCUGUGUCUCUGCCUCUCUCUGUCUCUCAUGAAUAAAAUAUUUUUUAAAAAUUGUACUUCAGUAAAUCUGAGUUAAAAUGUUAUAUGAACCAUUUUUCAGGUUGCUGGGGUGGACCAUACAUUAUUUGAAUUAAAAUAAGUGAGUCAAAAAAAAAA